CAGAAAUAGUUUAAUAAAAAAUUAUAAUUUUGGAGAUUAUAGAUGGGAGAGCUUUUCUUUCUGAA
rnacentral:tRNA from 1 species